rnacentral:rRNA from 1 species
GACGAACGCUGGCGGCGUGCUUAACACAUGCAAGUCGAACGGAAAGGCCCUGCUUGCAGGGUACUCGAGUGGCGAACGGGUGAGUAACACGUGGGUGAUCUGCCCUGCACUUCGGGAUAAGCCUGGGAAACUGGGUCUAAUACCGGAUAGGAGCCAUUUUUAGUGUGAUGGUUGGAAAGUUUUUUCGGUGUAGGAUGAGCUCGCGGCCUAUCAGCUUGUUGGUGGGGUAAUGGCCUACCAAGGCGGCGACGGGUAGCCGGCCUGAGAGGGUGGACGGCCACAUUGGGACUGCGAUACGGCCCAGACUCCUACGGGAGGCAGCAGUGGGGAAUAUUGCACAAUGGGCGCAAGCCUGAUGCAGCGACGCCGCGUGGGGGAUGACGGCCUUCGGGUUGUAAACUCCUUUCGCUAGGGACGAAGCUUUUGUGACGGUACCUAGAUAAGAAGCACCGGCUAACUACGUG